CAAGGCAAACCUAAUGAGCUACAGGGGCAUUGCCUGGGCCACAGACCACACAUGCCCUAGAUGUUGCAGUCUACCACUGAGCUCAUAGCAUCAUUUUUCAGAUACUAGAAUGAAAUGCCAAGUUCUGGAUAGCCUAUAUUAUAUAUGUGACAAUAAUUGGAAAGGAGGUGGGGGAAUAUAACCCAAAGAUGAAGAGAACUGAAAAUGAUUUCACAGAUUCUGAACUAGAGAUGGUGUCUAGUUAGAUAGACAGAAGGCAGAGAGAGAAAAAUGACCUUGUGCUGCAUGAUAGAAAGAUGCAUAUGUAUGAACGAUACCACCAAUUAUCAGCUACCAGGGAAAGAACAGUUUUGCAAAUGUAGCUCAACCUCCAGUAUCACAAGUGCUGACUCAAUCCUAGUAAAAUGAGAAAACAGACAAAAUAAGUCAGUCACCUUUCUGACCCUGACCAUUUCCCACCUGAUAAAAAUGUAGCAGCAUAUACAGCAAGAGCUCCAGGACAUAUAAAUCAGUACAGCCCUGCUGUCACCAUGGAUGAUGAAAGUUAAUGCAUUUUUGCAUCAAUUGCUCUCAAAAAAAAUGUACCUGCAUACACUGCUUGAUUUCCUCUGGUGGCAUGUACACGGGUGCACAUACAUGGGCAUAUGCAUACUGAGUGGUGUAGCACAGAUUCACUGUACUACAACACUGCACUGCUGAGCACUUCAGCUGAGUGUGUCUUAGUUCUACACCGCAGUGGUCCUUUUCUGGGUCUCCAGGGGAAAGAUUGUACGGAUGACAGAGUUGGAGAAAACUCUUUUUCAGUUUACGCUAGGAUGUUUUCUUCUAGGGAGCUAUAAUCUGCAAGACUAUAACUUUCACUUUCCAAAUAGAGCUCAAAUUCCUGCCCUUGGCACAGCAUCACAGAGGACUUGCUUUCACUCACAUGGAUUAACUCUCUCAACAGUUUACCAAGAUAAUUGGCACAGCCGCUCCUUUUCUUCAAAGCUUGCUUUUGCUCACCUAUUCUUCUUUUUUCCUCCAAUGAGUACAUAAUGAACGACAGCGACUACUUAAUGUAUAACAGUGACUUUAAUUAUCACCACAUCAAUUGCCAAGAGUGUUUUCCGAGAUAAUAACUGCCAAUUAUAUAAAGUAAGCAAAAGCAUGGCACAGUGCUGUAUAAAAGAUACCUGUAAGCAAACUGCCCCACGUACCAGACACAGUUCUGCAUGCUGCUGCAUGCUCUGCCUCCCUCCUGAGAAGGGAGAUGCAGCAGCCCAGGAGGACUGUGUGCACACAUGGCCACCACGCACCCAGACUACAGGAUUUUAGUGAGAUUUUGACCGAUAUGUAGAAUGAGAAAGAAACAUUGGAGCCGAAGAAAAUACUGGAAACACUUAAUCACUUUCAAAGAAAGUAUUUAGACCAUCUCUCCUGGGAAGGACUGCACCAAGUGCAGAGAUACAGGGAUGCAAGUUAUCUCCCCACAGCUACAAGGAGACCACAACAGAGGGAGAAGCGGGGUUUGUGACAGCAGCUCCAAGCAGAACACAGCAGCAAGCUAAGCUACACCUCGCUCUGCAGCACGGGCAAAGUAAGGAGGGAUGGAAGCCUGUGAGGAGCCAUGCUACAAUCCAGCGCUGUCAGAGCUGAGUCCUGCAGCAGCAGCCCUCCAUGCAGUGCCCCUGCUCACCCAUCUCCAGGCUCACUGGAGCUGCCUCUGGUUCUUCACUCUGCUCCUACUGCCAUUUCACUGGGAGUGCCUGCAGCUCCCUCCCUCAAACUGCUGCAGCCCUGAGGUACAAAUGGCAGUGAGGUCUUCUAGCAAGACCUUGGAGACAGCACUGAGCUGGGAAAGCUAAGUUAUCAAGGACCACAUUGGCACAAGCUUUCUUUCUUGCUGGAGCAAAACUUAAAUCUCUUUCCCUGCCAUGGUUGUGGUAAUACCGCACAACUAUUCAUUAUCCUUAUCUUAACUAGAGAAGCCCCUUUCAAUUUAGCACUUAAUGUAAUUACGGCAAAUUAAAUCGUGUUCAGAAAAAUCUUAUUUUACCAGAGCUAUUAUCUUACCUCUACAAAACCGUCAGUUAAAAGCUAUUAAACACUGGGGGUUUGUAUCUAUUCAGUGAGCAGAAAAGUGAGUUACUAAAGUGAAAUUUGUUUAAAUUCUGUUUCCAAAUUCAACACCACAUCUCCAAGGGAAAAUGGUAGACUCUCAGUGGCAGCAUAGUGACCCUGGCAGCACUGUGACAUUUGAACACCAAUUCUCUGUUCACUUUCAUUCACCUCAGAGAAGUUUCAUAUGUAUAUUAUUUUUUUAAGAUGAGGAUUUGCAUUUCACUAAAUAAGGCAAACAGUUCCCUUUGUGUGCUUUCAGCAAAAUUAACUCUGGCUAGAGCUGUACUGCUGACUUGAUGAGACAUAUACAGAACAAAAGCAAUUGGCUGCCAUGAAGUCAAGUGGAAAACACACAUUCACUUCAAGGGGUUCAGGAUGUCAAAUGCAGCACAGGAGACGAAACCAGAGAAGCCAGGAAGAAAACAGGUAAAAAGCCACGUGCAUUUACAUGUCACCUAAUAAACAUACGAUAAGUGGUAAAAACUUGAAGAACUGGGUAUUCCAAACUCUGACUCAAGAAAAAAGCUCCUGUUUAGAGUAGUCCCAUUACAGUCAAUGUUAUUUCAUUUGUGAGGACAAAUUGCAGAUAUGGAUUUCAUGCCUAUGCACAUCUGUAUCAAGGCAGACUGAAAAUCGCAAGCAGAGCUUUUCUGGAAUCACGGUCUGUUUAAAGUGAUUAAUUUCACACUAUUACCCAGGGGAAGGCUGGUGGGGGUGGAAAUAGGCAAUGCAUAUACAAGAGGUACCCAAGAAAGGUAGAUGCAUCUCAGUAUGGUCAGUUUGUGUUCUCAUGAAUAAUAAAUGCUGGAUUGUAAUAUUUGAAUUGAUAUUAGAAUGAAUGUAAUGAGUCACA